CAGUAGCCGCGGUAAUACGAAGGGGGCUAGCGUUGUUCGGAUUUACUGGGCGUAAAGCGUGCGUAGGCGGUUCGUUAAGUCUGUUGUGAAAGCCCUGGGCUCAACCUGGGAAUUGCAUUUGAUACUGUUUGGCUUGAGUUCGGGAGAGGUGAGUGGAAUUCCCAGUGUAGAGGUGAAAUUCGUAGAUAUUGGGAAGAACACCAGUGGCGAAGGCGGCUCACUGGACGACUGUUGACGCUGAGGUACGAAAGCGUGGGGAGCAAACAGGAUUAGAUACCCCGGUAGUCCCUGUCUCUUAUAC
rnacentral:rRNA from 1 species